rnacentral:piRNA from 5 species
UCGCGAGUUCAAAUCUCGCUGGGGCCU